UGGCCUGCUGUUACGCUUGGACCAUUGAAACAACAUUGAGAAAAACACUGGACCACGCUACAUUUUCAUUCAUCCCUGGACAUCUGGUGUCUACCUUAGCCCUUUGUGGAGGAACCGACGUAGGGGUCACAGUGAGGCGGAUGCUGCGUAGCCUCCUGGUCAACAGCUUGGCCAGCCAAUUUAACUGGGCUGGAAAGGGGGAAAAAACUGCGUUUAAGGACACCAAGAUCCAUGAUGUCCUGUUUGAUGCUCUACAAAAGCAGCUGCCAGGGAGCACACACGCUACUUUUAGUGACGCAAUCAAGAAGUGGCUUAAGUAUGCGCCAGAGAGAGA